AGUUGGAUUUUUGUUUGUUAGGUAAGUAGUCAUUUUUGUAUUAUUGAUGAAAAUUUUUGGGUGCUUGAUAUGUAUAUGUAUAUGUUUGUGAUUAAUUAGUCACUAUUAUUUGUAUAGUGUAGGCACUUGCAUUUUCUAUUAGGUGCAAAAUCAAACUUCAAAUUAUAGUCGUGUUCUUUUGGCUUCCAUUGCUGGUAAGUGUUAUACUUUUUUAUCAUAGUAGUGUUUAUGUUUAUUUGUAUUAUCUUCAAGGCCUACUUGCUCACUUUGAUCUUCUCUCUCUUCACUCAAAAUUCUGCAUGAAAUUUCUGAUUUGAAAUAUAUGCAGUGAUGAAAUUAAUAUUCCAGAUAUGAGUAUAUAUUGUAGAUAUGAAGGGGUAUGAGUUUGGAGUGGCCCCUUGAAUGAGUUUUGGCUCAAUGAGUUUCAUGGGUUACUCAGACACCAUCGGUUACUAUGUGGAGUCGCCUCUAAACAAGAUACAUCUCCACUACUUAGUGGUGGACAUUGAUCACAUUGACGACUACGAUUGGGGUGGCACUGCUCUAGUCACCCUCUAUAGAUACGCUAGUGUUGUCAUGCACCGCUGAGAGAUGACCAUCAAAGGGCAUUAGAAACGAUGGAAGGUGUGGCAUCAAAUACCGUGAUGUGCUUCAUCGCGGUGCUUGACAUCACUCUGGUGAGUUGGAGAGGAUUUUGCUAAGGGCCCCUUCUGUCUAGUUUGGUGUUUCAACAAGUGGGGAUGCUGCUAGUCUAUGGGAAUGGCUGCCCCCAGAGUGCUUGCCGUGGUACCAGAUUGCAUGCGGACUACUGACACCUUCACUCCAGAGGACAUCAUACCAGCCAUAGAGGGCACCAAUGUAGAGAUCUUCUAUGGUGUGGCAUCUAAUUCCUUCAUGACCACAACUUCCUUACUAAGUGCAGGCAGAGAAGCAUAUAUGGCAUAGUGCAAUCCAUCCGUCCUCAAUAUUGUGAUCAAUUUACUGCGCAUGCACCUUGUGUGAGAUAAGAGUGU